CCUACGGGAGGCAGCAGUGAGGAAUAUUGGUCAAUGGCCGGAAGGCUGAACCAGCCAUGCCGCGUGAAGGUCAGUGCCCUAUGGGCGUUAAACUUCUUUUGUGCGGGAGCAAUAAUGGUCACGUGUGGCCAGACGAGAGUACCGUACGAAUAAGCAUCGGCUAACUCCGUGCCAGCAGCCGCGGUAAUACGGGGGAUUCAAGCGUUAUCCGGAUUUAUUGGGUUUAAAGGGUGCGUAGGCUGUGAGGUAAGUCAGCGGUGAAAUGCCCCCGCUCAACGGGGUGAAGUGCCAUUGAUACUGCCUGGCUGGAGUGCGGAUGCAGUGGGAGGAAUGUGUGGUGUAGCGGUGAAAUGCAUAGAUAUCACACAGAACACCGAUUGCGAAGGCAUCUCACGAAUCCGCGAUUGACGCUGAUGCACGAAAGCGUGGGUAUCAAACAGGAUUAGAUACCCGGGUAGUC
rnacentral:rRNA from 1 species